GCAGCAUCCUGGCAUGGAUGAGAGGAGAGCGCGGGCAGACAGACAGAAAAACAGACGCCCUGCAUCACAGGCGAGUCGAGCGCUUACUUCCUCAGCUGGAACGCUCGAGACGUUGAGCGAUCGCUGAGGGGAACCCCAGAGGACCACGUGUGACUGAUGGACAGAAGACGCUUUUAUCAACCGCUUCUCGAGUCGCUGACCUUCUCAGAGGAUCGGUGAUAAACGCGCCAGUUGAGUCCAUUGUGUACGGUUUACCCUUCACAAAUGAGUCACAACACAGGAUCAGUCUGGGUGAACUGCAAACCGUCCCGCUCUGGAGAGGGGAGCGUUCGCCUCCGUCAGAACAACCUGGAAAUCGUAACACUGCGCUGGCAGAAAUGGUGCUUUUUGUCUUGUUGUCUGUGUAAAGACUCUAAUAUUAGUGUAAACUGAAGGAAAAGAAUUUGCGCGUGUAGCUAUUUUUGAUCUCAGUGAGGAAAUAGGAAGACAAGCGGCACACACCUCCUACUCGUGGAUCCAAA